rnacentral:lncRNA from 1 species
UUUCAGUUAACUUUCAAAAAAUAACAAAACAGUCACCGCUAAUCAUUUUCCAUUACAGACGUAACGGAGCUACCAUUUUCCAUCCCCCUUACAUCCCUCUCUCUCUUCCCCACCAUCCCUCCCCUUACUCUGAUUCUCUCUCCCUCCCUCCCUCUCCCUCUCUUCCCCACCAUCCCUUCUUGCACUCUGAUUCUUUCCCUCUCCCCCAUCGUUCUUUUGCUAACCCUCUCCC